GUCGAACGCUGGCGGCGUGCCUAAUACAUGCAAGUUGAGCGCUGAAGGUUGGUACUUGUACCAACUGGAUGAGCAGCGAACGGGUGAGUAACGCGUGGGGAAUCUGCCUUUGAGCGGGGGACAACAUUUGGAAACGAAUGCUAAUACCGCAUAAAAACUUUAAACACAAGUUUUAAGUUUGAAAGAUGCAAUUGCAUCACUCAAAGAUGAUCCCGCGUUGUAUUAGCUAGUUGGUGAGGUAAAGGCUCACCAAGGCGAUGAUACAUAGCCGACCUGAGAGGGUGAUCGGCCACAUUGGGACUGAGACACGGCCCAAACUCCUACGGGAGGCAGCAGUAGGGAAUCUUCGGCAAUGGACGAAAGUCUGACCGAGCAACGCCGCGUGAGUGAAGAAGGUUUUCGGAUCGUAAAACUCUGUUGGUAGAGAAGAACGUUGGUGAGAGUGGAAAGCUCAUCAAGUGACGGUAACUACCCAGAAAGGGACGGCUAACUACGUG
rnacentral:rRNA from 1 species